GAAUGCCGUGUGCGAUGAAAGUUGCAUGCACGGUGUGGAGCAGGGGAAAAGGCAGAGAUAACCUCAAAGCCUUACCUAUUGCUAU
rfam:Bacillus sp. MRMR6 scaffold_1, whole genome shotgun sequence.